rnacentral:lncRNA from 1 species
AAAGGGGUUGUUGCUCUCAAUCACAUCUUUUUCUCCAAACUUACUUCUUCAAACAUAAACAUGUACUGUCUGUCACGGUAAUGUCUCAGUAAAAUAUUCUCGACCUAGGUGUCAUGGAUGACAUUUUUGUACAUUUGAGUAAGAUAUUGUAAUUACCCGUAUUCAUAAUUAUGUUUUUUCAUAAUAAAAAAACUAUUCCCGG